UACGUAGGGGGCAAGCGUUGUCCGGAAUUAUUGGGCGUAAAGAGCGUGUAGGCGGUCCGGUAAGUCAGCUGUGAAAGUCAAGGGCUCAACCCUUGAAAGCCGGUUGAUACUGUCGGGCUAGAGUCCGGAAGAGGCGAGUGGAAUUCCCGGUGUAGCGGUGAAAUGCGCAGAUAUCGGGAGGAACACCGAUGGCGAAGGCAGCACUCUGGGCCGGUACUGACGCUGAGGAGCGAAAGCGUGGGGAGCGAACAGG
rnacentral:rRNA from 1 species